rnacentral:sRNA from 1 species
GCGAGACGAAGGAGUCUCUAAAUCAGUGGC